AUUCGCCAAAACAUGAUGAAUUAUUUGAAUGAAAGGUUCGAAUGGAAGAAAUUGAAGAUGGAUCUGGUGGCGGAGAAACCCUAGAAACGAAGCGAAUCGAAGGAAUUCGUGGAAUUGGAUGGAAACCCUAGAAUCGGGAAGGAUGAGAGUCAGGGAGAUCCAAUCGAGAGAGAGAGAAGAAGAGAAGCUUCAAUCGCGGGAGAGAAAAAGAUUGUUUACAAGUGUACAAGAACUUUACAACCAUG
rnacentral:lncRNA from 1 species